CCAAAACAGACUUUCAGAUGGAGGUGACCCCAGGAGUUUCCUUCAGCUCCUGUGUCAUGCCUGCCCGACUGUAGCUCUUUAAAGGUCACAGACGAACCCUAACACCUCAUGAUAAUCCAUUCUAGAGCAACACUGACAAGUCCCUCUUUCCAUCUGUGCCACCUCCUUGGUGGUGCAAUUUACUACUGGCAUUUAGGGGCCUUGCCUGUUAGUUGGCCUAUAUUUCUGUUUUUCCAAGUUCCAGGGAGCUCACCCUAAAUUCUAGUGUUCUGGAGUUCAGUGAACAUGCACAGUUUAACCUGCUUUACUCUUACGACUUUACAGACAAACUCGCAUCUCCAGUUUUGCCAGCCUGGGGCUAUUCACGCUUUGACUUGAUGCACAGGUGGCAGCACCCAGUUUCUCUGAGCAUCUUGUCCUUCUCAAAAUGCUAUUACAUUUCUGACAUGCAGAACUGAAUGCAAUGUUGGCCAUGUGGAAGUACCAUAAUUUUGCAGAAGAAUAAGCAUUGGAAUACUAUUAUCUGGAUACAGGGAUCACCAAAAAUUUCCCAAAUCCUGCACAAUCUUCAGGGUCCAGCUUUGGAAGAUGUUUUCCACUCUUUCAAUGAGCCCAACGGAGCUGCUUUUGGAAAACAAGAUGACUCUAACGCUGUGCCAGAUGUUAAAGCAAGCGAAGUUCUGUAAUAUGAGGUCCCCAGAAAGUGGGCCAAAGCUCCUGAGGUUCUUGGGGUUGAAAGUCAUAGAAGAAAAGCAGUCACGCCACUAGAUGUUGCCUGCUUGUAUCUUUUUGGCCCUCGUCAUGUUCUCUCUGGCUGGCAGACAUUAUUUUAUUCUUACUACAGCCACAAGUAAUUUAUUUAUUUUUUCAAUUGAAAAAAGCUGCUUUUAAAAAUGCCUCCUGGCCAGGCACAGUAACUCACACCUAUAAUCCCAGCACUUUGGGAGGCCGAG
rnacentral:lncRNA from 10 species